AGGAUGAACGCUAGCGGCAGGCCUAAUACAUGCAAGUCGAACGGUCGGUGGCAACACCGAUAGUGGCGCACGGGUGCGUAACGCGUAACCAACCUACCCACUACUGGGGGAUAGCCCGCCGAAAGGCGGAUUAAUACCGCAUGAGGCUUUGGUCCGGCAUCGGGCAGAAGCUAAAGAUUCAUUGGUAGUGGAUGGGGUUGCGUGCCAUUAGCUGGUUGGCGGGGUAACGGCCCACCAAGGCGACGAUGGCUA
rnacentral:rRNA from 1 species